AACGGAAAGGCCCUGCUUGCAGGGUACUCGAGUGGCGAACGGGUGAGUAACACGUGGGUGAUCUGCCCUGCACUUCGGGAUAAGCUUGGGAAACUGGGUCUAAUACCGGAUAGGAACCAUCUUUAGUGUGGUGGUUGGAAAGUUUUUUCGGUGUAGGAUGAGCUCGCGGCCUAUCAGCUUGUUGGUGGGGUAAUGGCCUACCAAGGCGGCGACGGGUAGCCGGCCUGAGAGGGUGUACGGCCACAUUGGGACUGAGAUACGGCCCAGACUCCUACGGGAGGCAGCAGUGGGGAAUAUUGCACAAUGGGCGCAAGCCUGAUGCAGCGACGCCGCGUGGGGGAUGAAGGCCUUCGGGUUGUAAACUCCUUUCGCUAGGGACGAAGCUUUUUGUGACGGUACCUAGAUAAGAAGCACCGGCUAACUACGUGCCAGCAGCCGCGGUAAUACGUAGGGUGCGAGCGUUGUCCGGAAUUACUGGGCGUAAAGGGCUCGUAGGUGGUUUGUCGCGUCGUCUGUGAAUUCUGGGGCUUAACUCCGGGCGUGCAGGCGAUACGGGCAUAACUUGAGUGCUGUAGGGGUAACUGGAAUUCCUGGUGUAGCGGUGAAAUGCGCAGAUAUCAGGAGGAACACCGAUGGCGAAGGCAGGUUACUGGGCAGUUACUGACGCUGAGGAGCGAA
rnacentral:rRNA from 1 species